UGGCGAUCGUGGUCGACGGCGCGUCGGACAGGUCCGUGCCCGGUCGGCGUCAGCCGGGGAACCCCACGGCCCGCAGACCGGACCUGCGGCUCGUUGU
rnacentral:tRNA from 1 species